UGGGGAAUAUUGGACAAUGGAGGAAACUCUGAUCCAGCAAUUCUGUGUGUGUGAAGAAGGUUUUAGGACUGUAAAACACUUUUAGUAGGGAAGAAAAAAAUGACGGUACCUACAGAAGAAGCAACGGCUAAAUACGUGCCAGCAGCCGCGGUAAUACGUAUGUUGCGAGCGUUAUCCGGAAUUAUUGGGCUUAAAGGGCAUCUAGGCGGUAAGACAAGUUGAAGGUGAAAACCUGUGGCUCAACCAUAGGCUUGCCUACAAAACUGUUGAACUAGAGUACUGGAAAGGUGGGUGGAACUACACGAGUAGAGGUGAAAUUCGUAGAUAUGUGUAGGAAUGCCGAUGAUUAAGAUAACUCACUGGACAGAAACUGACGCUGAAGUGCGAAAGAUAGGGGAGCAAACAGG
rnacentral:rRNA from 1 species